CGAUGAAACAAUAACUGAUGCUUUAAACUCUCUGUAUCGUUUAUUUUCAAAUAUUCACUAAUAAACAUUAAAUCUGCUCUUAUUAGUGUAUUUGC